rnacentral:rRNA from 1 species
UGCAGUCGGGCGGUAACAGGGGAAGCUUGCUUCCUGCUGACGAGCGGCGGNNGGGUGAGUAAUGCAUAGGAAUCUGCCUGAUAGUGGGGGAUAGCCCAGAGAAAUUUGGAUUAAUACCGCAUACGCCCUACGGGGGAAAGCAGGGGAUCUUCGGACCUUGCGCUAUCAGAUGAGCCUAUGUCGGAUUAGCUAGUUGGUGAGGUAACGGCUCACCAAGGCGACGAUCCGUAGCUGGUCUGAGAGGAUGAUCAGCCACACUGGGACUGAGACACGGCCCAGACUCCUACGGGAGGCAGCAGUGGGGAAUAUUGGACAAUGGGCGCAAGCCUGAUCCAGCCAUGCCGCGUGUGUGAAGAAGGCCUUCGGGUUGUAAAGCACUUUCAGCGAGGAGGAAAGGAUGGUUGCUAAUAUCAACCGUCUGUGACGUUACUCGCAGAAGAAGCNCCGGCUAACUCCGUGCCAGCAGCCGCGGUAAUACGGAGGGUGCGAGCGUUAAUCGGAAUUACUGGGCGUAAAGCGUGCGUAGGCGGCCUUUUAAGUUGGAUGUGAAAGCCCCGGGCUUAACCUGGGAACGGCAUCC